UACGUAGGGUGCGAGCGUUAAUCGGAAUUACUGGCGUAAAGCGUGCGCAGGCGGCGCGUUAAGACAGGUGUGAAAGCCCCGAGCUUAACUUGGGAAUUGCGCUUGUGACUGGCGUGCUGGAGUGUGGCAGAGGGAGGUGGAAUUCCACGUGUAGCAGUGAAAUGCGUAGAGAUGUGGAGGAACACCGAUGGCGAAGGCAGCCUCCUGGGCCAGCACUGACGCUCAUGCACGAAAGCGUGGGGAGCAAACAGG
rnacentral:rRNA from 1 species